GAUGAACGCUGACAGAAUGCUUAACACAUGCAAGUCGACUCGAGUCUUCGGACUUGGGUGGCGCACGGGUGAGUAACGCGUAAAGAACUUGCCUCUUAGACCGGGACAACAUCUGGAAACGGAUGCUAAUACCGGAUAUUAUGGUUUUUUCGCAUGGAGGAAUCAUGAAAGCUAGAUGCGCUAAGAGAGAGCUUUGCGUCCCAUUAGCUAGUUGGUGAGGUAACGGCCCACCAAGGCAAUGAUGGGUAGCCGGCCUGAGAGGGUGAACGGCCACAAGGGGACUGAGACACGGCCCUUACUCCUACGGGAGGCAGCAGUGGGGAAUAUUGGACAAUGGACCACAAGUCUGAUCCAGCAAUUCUGUGUGCACGAUGACGUUUUUCGGAAUGUAAAGUGCUUUCAGUCGGGAAGAAGUCAGUGACGGUACCGACAGAAGAAGCGACGGCUAAAUACGUGCCAGCAGCCGCGGUAAUACGUAUAUCGCAAGCGUUAUCCGGAUUUAUUGGGCGUAAAGCGCGUCUAGGCGGCAAGGAAAGUCUGAUGUGAAAAUGCGGAGCUCAACUCCGUAUGGCGUUGGAAACUGCCUUACUAGAGUACUGGAGAGGUAGGCGGAACUACAAGUGUAGAGGUGAAAUUCGUAGAUAUUUGUAGGAAUGCCGAUGGGGAAGCCAGCCUACUGGACAGAUACUGACGCUAAAGCGCGAAAGCGUGGGUAGCAAACAGG
rnacentral:rRNA from 1 species